UUGUUAUUUUUAAAUAAGGGUGGAUGAUAGCUUAAUUCAUCAAUGGUAAUUAUAAUUUUUUUUUGGGUACUAGAGUAUCUCUCACAUUUUUAGGUAAGUUUUGGGACUGUUGCUUCUUUCAAAUAAGUGUUACUCUCAUUAAUUAAACUCUUUACUUUUUAGUCUUAUUACGAAUAUCUAGUGGGAUUUUACAUCACUAAAUCAUUACCUUGUUGAUGUUAAAUUAUAUCUUGAUAAUAUAAAAAUAUUUUAU
rnacentral:lncRNA from 1 species